rnacentral:rRNA from 1 species
CCUACGGGAGGCAGCAGUGAGGAAUAUUGGUCAAUGGACGAGAGUCUGAACCAGCCAAGUAGCGUGAAGGAUGACUGCCCUAUGGGUUGUAAACUUCUUUUAUAUGGGAAUAAAAUGUUCCACGUGUGGGAUUUUGUAUGUAACAUAUGAAUAAGGAUCGGCUAACUCCGUGCCAGCAGCAGCGGUAAUACGGAGGAUCCGAGCUUUAUCCGGAUUUAUUGGGUGGAAAGGGAGCGUAGGUGGAUUGUUAAGUCAGUUGUGAAAGUGUGCGGCUCAACCGUAAAAUUGCAGUUGAAACUGGCAGUCUAGAGUACAGUAGAGGUGGGCGGAAUUCGUGGUGUAGCGGUGAAAUGCUUAGAUAUCACGAAGAACUCCGAUUGCGAAGGCAGCUCACUGGACUGCAACUGACACUGAGGCUCGAAAGUGUGGGUAUCAAACAGGAUUAGAUACCCCAGUAGUC